rnacentral:rRNA from 1 species
CCUACGGGAGGCAGCAGUGGGGAAUAUUGGGCAAUGGAGGCAACUCUGACCCAGCAACGCCGCGUGAAUGAUGAAGGUCUUCGGAUUGUAAAGUUCUGUGAUGGGGGAUGAACACAAUGACGGUACCCCACUAGCAAGCCACGGCUAACUACGUGCCAGCAGCCGCGGUAAUACGUAGGUGGCAAGCGUUAUCCGGCAUGACUGGGCGUAAAGGGUGCGUAGGUGGUUUAGUAAGUUGGCGGUGUAAUUCCGGGGCUCAACCUCGGCGCUACCGCCAGAACAAUUAGACGAGAGUGCAGGAGGGGUAAGUGGAAUGCCUAGUGUAGCGGUGGAAUGCGUAGAUAUUAGGAGGAAAAUCAGGGGCGAAGGCGACGUACUGGACUGGAACUGACACUGAGGCACGAAAGCGUGGGUAGCAAACAGGAUUAGAUACCCGGGUAGU